rnacentral:rRNA from 1 species
UACGAAGGGGGCUAGCGUUGCUCGGAAUACUGGGCGUAAAGCGCACGCAGGCGGUCUCUUAAGUUUCGAGUGACAGGUGGUGGCUCAACUGCCACAGGCCUUGGAAAACUGGGAGACUUGAGGACUUCAGAGGGAUGCGGAAUUCCAGGUGGAGCGGAUGAAAUGCGUAGAGAUCUGGAAGAACACCAGACGGAAGGCAGCAUCCUGGGUCAAGAUUGACGCUCAUGCACGAAAGCGUGGGGAGCAAACAGG